rnacentral:rRNA from 1 species
UACGGAGGGGACUAGCGUUGUUCGGAAUUACUGGGCGUAAAGCGCACGUAGGCGGAUUUGUUAGUCAGGGGUGAAAUCCCGAGGCUCAACCUCGGAACUGCCUUUGAUACUGCAAAUCUCGAGUCCGGAAGAGGUGAGUGGAAUUCCUAGUGUAGAGGUGAAAUUCGUAGAUAUUAGGAAGAACACCAGUGGCGAAAGCGGCGCGCUAGACACCUACUGACGCUGAGGCACGAAAGCCAGGGGAGCAAACGGG